rnacentral:piRNA from 1 species
UGGAACUCAGGGCAAUCUUUUAAUUA